AGCAGCCGCGGUAAUUCCAGCUCCAAUAGCGUAUAUUAAAGUUGUUGCAGUUAAAAAGUUCGUAGUUGAAUUUCGGGAUCAGUUUGUUGGUCGUGCUUCGGUACGUACUGUCAUUACUGGUUUCUCCCUUCUGAAGAACCUUGAUGUCAUUAAUUUGGUGUCUUGGGGAAUCAGGACUGUUACUUUGAAAAAAUUAGAGUGUUUAAAGCAGGCAUACGCUUGAAUACAUUAGCAUGGAAUAAUGAAAUAGGACGUUUGAUUCUAUUUUGUUGGUUUCUAGGAUCGACGUAAUGAUUAAUAGGGAUAGUUGGGGGCAUUAGUAUUCAAUUGUCAGAGGUGAAAUUCUUGGAUUUAUUGAAGACUAACUACUGCGAAAGCAUUUGCCAAGGAUGUUUUCAUUAAUCAAGAACGAAAGUUAGGGGAUCGAAGACGAUCAGAUACCGUCGUAGUCUUAACCAUAAACUAUGCCGACUAGGGAUCGGAUGAUGUUACUUUUAAUGACUCAUUCGGCGCCUUACGG
rnacentral:rRNA from 1 species